rnacentral:rRNA from 1 species
UACGUAGGGGGCAAGCGUUGUCCGGAAUCAUUGGGCGUAAAGAGCGUGUAGGCGGCCCGAUAAGUCCGCUGUGAAAGUCCAGGGCUCAACCCUGGGAUGCCGGUGGAUACUGUCGGGCUCGAGUCCGGAAGAGGAGUGUGGAAUUCCUGGUGUAGCGGUGAAAUGCGCAGAUAUCAGGAGGAACACCAAUGGCGAAGGCAGCCUUCUGGGCCAACACUGACACUCAUGCACGAAAGCGUGGGGAGCAAACAGG